GACGAACGCUGGCGGCGUGCUUAACACAUGCAAGUCGAACGGAAAGGCCAGUGCUUUCCCUGGUGCUCGAGUGGCGAACGGGUGAGUAACACGUGGGUGAUCUGCCUUGCACUCUGGGAUAAGCUUGGGAAACUGGGUCUAAUACCGGAUAGGAACCGUCUUUAGUGUGGUGGUUGGAAAGUUUUUUCGGUGCAAGAUGAGCUCGCGGCCUAUCAGCUUGUUGGUGGGGUAAUGGCCUACCAAGGCGUCGACGGGUAGCCGGCCUGAGAGGGUGUACGGCCACAUUGGGACUGAGAUACGGCACAGACUCCUACGGGAGGCAGCAGUGGGGAAUAUUGCACAAUGGGCGGAAGCCUGAUGCAGCGACGCCGCGUGGGGGAUGACGGCCUUCGGGUUGUAAACUACUUUCGACAGGGACGAAGCGUUAUGUGACGGUACCUGUAUAAGAAGCACCGGCUAACUACGUG
rnacentral:rRNA from 1 species